GGAGGCUGAGGUAGGAGAAUCACUUGAACCAGGGAGGCAGAGGUUGCAGUGAGCCAAGAUUGCACCAUUGCACUCCAGCCUGGGUGACAAGAGUGAAACUCCGUUAAAAAAAAGAAGAAGAAGAAGAAGAAAUACACUAAAUACAGAUUUAAAACUUGUUUCAACUUCCUUGAAGACAAAUAACUUCACUACCUUUGAUAUUAAGUAGGCCUCCUUGAGUGAGGGUUUAGCCAGUGAUAUCUGAGCAGAAAUGGAUAUGCAUUGCAACAAGGCUCAUGAACACUUCUGUGAAGAAACCUCUAUUCUCUUUCUGCUUCCCUGGGUUGAAGACAGACAUGAUAAACUUAAAAGCCAGUUGUAACGGUGGAAGGAGACUAAGUCUCUGGAUCACUUCUUGGAAGGGAAAUGCACUCUGAUCGGUAGCACCUGUUCAGGUCUUCCUGUGAGCUUGAGAAAUGGCAUUUACUUUAUGCUUUUAGUCAUCUAUUACAAGAAAGAGAUAAGCUCAGUAAAUAACUUGCUAGUUUGCAAGCAGACAUACAAGGGAGAAGAGAGAAAGUUUAGAAAUUUGGUGCCUUGAAGAGUUACAAAGAGAAACCACUUACUGAUUCCAAGCAAUGUAAGCUGAGACUUGAAGAGGCUUUGAAAAAUAGUGCAAAGUAAUGUAAAUUUUGGAAUGCCAUACCUGGACCAAGUUCAUGAGAGUAUCUCUGAAGUGUCCUGAGGUCUCUGAAUAAAUGUCCUCUUGGAGGUUAUUGCUGUAUUCUGUAUAAGAAAACAUGUUAAAGGUAUGAUUUAUUAUAGAACUAUGUAUCAGUGUGUUUUGAGUAAGUUAAUGUUAUUUCCCAGUUGUGAGUACAAAGUCCAGGAAAUGUAGUCCACCUGUUGACAUUUCUUUGUCAAUAAACCGUCUGCCAAAGAAUUCUGUCACCUAAUGGUAACAUAAGCACAGGACUAUUUUUUAAAAAUCUUUAGUCCAAAAUUGAAAAACAGGAUUGAGAGUCAUUUCACAUUCUCUGAUUCUCAAAAUUCAGAAUUAUGCAUUCUAUUUCCACAGAAUGCUGCCCAGCCCAAUACUUUUUCUAAGUGCUUCAUCUCAUUUUAACAUUUUAGUGAAAGUUCUGACUUCAUUCCCUUCAGAAAAGUCUUGUUUUUGUUUGAAUGCAAUAGAGAUGACUGUCCGCAACAUUUUCUUGACACACAAUGUCAUAUACUACAUAACGCAAUAGAACUUAAGGCAUUAUACCUUUUUGAAAGUGAAAAUAGUUACCCUUUCUACUUUUGAAAUGUAUAAAAAUCUGAUUUUGUAGUAGAUUACGGGAAUGUGAAAUUUAUGUAAAGCGAAGCAGAUAUAUUUGUAGAAUUCACUGAGCCAUUAUUGUACCUUAUUUUUUCUAUAUGCUGGGUCUUUCCUGGGUAAGAGGUGAAAUGCCCCCUGAAUUAAAAUGUGGGACACUUUCCUGUCUUAAUGAAAACAUUCACCUCAUAGAGACUUGUAAUUAUUUUCCUGGAAAAUUUGCUUAACUUGAUUGUCUAGAGAAUGGUUUCAUUUUUAGUGCACUAAUAAUCGGUUUUACCUAAUGAGUUAAUUGGUCCUCAGUGAAUCCUAUGUUAAAUGUAAGAAUGUCUUAGAUAAUUCUUCAAAAUACAUAAACUGGAAUAUUUAAUGUGUUAUAAAGUUCUUAUAUGUGUAAAAUAUAUUCACAUAUGUAUAUUUCCUUACGCAAGCAGUAGGCUUCUCGCAUCUGGAAAAUUUCUCCAUUUGUUCUUGAAGCUAGUAUUUCAAUGAGGCAAUUCUCAUCAGUGCCUACUCCCUAGAGAAAGGAAAAAAGAGAUAAAUGUAAGGAUAUUUUUAUUGGAAGUAAUAGUGUACCUUUUGUACAAGAAAGGGAUACAGCAUUUCCAGUGUUUUGAGAGGUGGCAGGGAAAGGAAGUGGUUUAGGAUGAAGGCAGGCACAAUCUUAGUUUCAGCUUUGCCAUUUACUACCUAUUUGACCCUGAAGAAUUAAUAUUAUCUGAAGGAAACUGUUUCUUCAUUUAGAAUAAAACAGUAUGAGCAUUUCUAAACAAUGUGGAGAAAGACAUGUUCAAGCAAUGCUCAUGGCAUUGAGCAUUUCCAUUUGCUGUUGGAAUGAUAUUUGAUAUUCCAUUUGCUGCUGGAAUAUUAAUUCUUUAGCAAGCUGACAUUAGAAUACAGGUUUUCUAAUUUGCCGAGAAUAUUUUAGGGACCUGUGCCUGCCUCUCUAGAUGUGGAAUUUUGUACAAUUUGCAUAAAUAUUUGGAUGGAUGCUUUCUGUGGUCUCUUGCAGACACAUGGAUAUAUUGGUCUGUGAAAGAGAUCUUAAAGACAAUACACCUUUUUUAGGAAAGCCUCAGAAAUCCUUAGCAUUCUAUGAAUUAUUGAUAAAACACACUUGUUUAAUCAAAACAGCAACAUAUAAACAUAUAACUUUAUUUUUUAAAUAAUUUUUAGACAUAAUUUUGCAAGAGGUAGGAAUUGACAUGUAACAUGUGUUAAAAGCGAUUAGUUAAAAUUCAUAUAAUUUUUGUACAAUGCCUAUUUGGAUCAGUAAAUGUGAUGGCCAAAAUCCAUGUCCUUUAAUUUUUUUCCUGUUGCCUCUUUUCUGUCACACAUUGUUCACAGAUUGUGGUAAUCUGGUCAUUGGCAAGCAUCGUACUGGAAUGAUUUCAACAGUUCUGCAGGUGUUUAAUAUCUGCAUUUGGAAAGAAGUAAAGCCAAGGCCCUCUUUGUUCCCUGUACCUAGCCAACAAAAUCUGUAACAAAUCCACAGUCAACUUAUUUCAUGGAAAUGACUUUCCUGUAAGAAACACUGAUUCUAAUUCUUCCAAAUUAAGAUUUUUAUACAUUUG
rnacentral:lncRNA from 1 species